CCGGGGGCGGGAGGGGCUCAGUCAGGCGGUGGCGCGCAUGCGCGCGAGGGGUGCGGGUUUGUCAGGCGGUGGUGCGUUGUAUGGGGACCUCGGCUUGGGAGCUGUGCUUCUAGCAAGCAGAUUGCUCUGCGUUCCGAUCUGCAGCUCCUGUUCCUGAGGCAGAAGCGAGGUAUUCCAGCAUGGGGCAGUGCUCUGCAGUAACCGCCCUGUCCGGCCGCCUGCCCACAACAGUGACCCAAGCUGAGUGAUAAUGUUGGAACAAGCCAGAUCUCAGCGAUAUUGAGCUAGAACAACAGCUCAGCCCUAUGAAGAGGACUGGCGUUGCAUGCGCGUGCAACAGGGAACAAGUGCAACAAUCCAAGACCGGAAUGUGUGUACAGGGAAGAAAUGAGACAGAGCAUGAAAAACAAGACCUUUGACGCAGUGCUUUUCAUACACAAAAGAAGAACUGAAACAGUGAAGGCCAAGUACCUCAUAAGUCUGUGGACAGUCUUUUGGAAUUGCCAGAUAGCUUUCAGAGUGACGCGCCAAGAUUGAACGCCUC